rnacentral:piRNA from 1 species
UAAAAAUAAUGAAGAAAAUAAUAUUUGUGCG